AUGUUUGUGUUGUUGUGGUACAUAAUUCUAGGAUGUCACUCUCAUCACUCCUUCAGUCGGGUCAGAAACAACAGCACACCUCUCAACAUGUAUCCCGCUGGCUGUGGCAUCCAGCUGGAGGCCAGUCGAGACGUCCAUAACCCGAGUCACAAUGACGGAGAUGAUUCGUGCCACAUCUCCAAGAUGCCCCCAGGCUGGAUCCGAGAGGUGAGGCAGAGGAGAGCAGGCAAGACAGCAGGCAAACUGGAUGUCUACAUUACAAGUCCCCAAGGGCAGAAGUUCCGGUCAAGGGCAUCGCUGGACGCUUUCCUCCAAAAAAAUGGAGACGGUAACUUGGACAUGAACCUCUUUGAAUUCACUGCAUCCAAGGAUAAUGUCAUCACAAUACCACAAAUACUCCCCACCCAGAGGAAACUGGGGAGAAGAAAAAAACAGAAGGAGACAACUCAAGAUGCAACAGAUAUUCUGGAUCCACCUCCAAAUAAAUCUAAAAGGAGUAAUGAAGAGGAAAAUGUCAAGAGUUCCAAUGACACUAACUAUACUAAUACUAACAUUUUACCAGAAGUGUGUAGAGACAAAACUGACGAGACAGUGGAGGUCUGCGUACAAGCUGUACCUUCAGCAGUAGUAGAUGUUCUGCAGAGGAGCCCUCAGAGAGCCAUCGGCCUGAGAGAAAAGCUGCUCCGACUAGCUUCGCCUAGCAAACAGAAAAACACUUCUUGUGCUCAGGAGGACGAACGGGCAGACUCGGAGCCUUCUGUCCCAACUCUGAAUGUCGAACCUCCCACUGAGAGCGAGGAGGAGGAGGAGGGUGAAGAUGGACGAGGAGGAGGUGGAGGUGAGAUACAGAUUCACAGCGAAGGCGUUGACAAGCCUAAUUCUGAACUGGAGACUGAUGCUGAUGGUCAUCAGGAUGUGGAAGAGGAGGUGUUGUCACCUGACAUCACUGUCAGCUGUACGCCAGUGAGAGAUUCCCAGAACAGUAAGUACGAUCUAACAACGGCCUCACAGCUUGUAAAAGCAGCAGUGGAAUUUUGA
rnacentral:lncRNA from 1 species